UACGUAGGGCGCAAGCGUUAUCCGGAAUUAUUGGGCGUAAAGAGCUCGUAGGCGGUUUGUCGCGUCUGCCGUGAAAGUCCGGGCUCAACUCCGGAUCUGCGGUGGUACGGCAGACUGGAGGUAUGCAGGGGAGAACGGAAUUCCUGGUGUAGCGGUGAAAUGCGCAGAGUAUCAGGAGGAACACCGGUGGCGAAGGCGGGUCUCUGGGCAAUUCCUGACGCUGAGGCGCGAAAGCGUGGGGAGCAAACGGG
rnacentral:rRNA from 1 species